rnacentral:rRNA from 1 species
UACGUAGGGAGCAAGCGUUGUCCGGAAUCAUUGGGCGUAAAGAGCUCGUAGGCGGUCUGUCGCGUCGGCUGUGAAAACUCGGGGCUCAACCCCGAGCCUGCAGUCGAUACGGGCAGACUAGAGUUCGGUAGGGGAGACUGGAAUUCCUGGUGUAGCGGUGAAAUGCGCAGAUAUCAGGAGGAACACCGGUGGCGAAGGCGGGUCUCUGGGCCGAAACUGACGCUGAGGAGCGAAAGCGUGGGGAGCGAACAGG